CCUACGGGUGGCAGCAGUGGGGAAUAUUGCACAAUGGGGGAAACUCUGAUGCAGCGACGCCGCGUGAGCGAUGAAGUAUUUCGGUAUUUAAAGCUCUAUCAGCAGGGAAGAAAAUGACGGUACCUGACUCAGAAGCCCCGGCUAACUACGUGCCAGCAGCCGCGGUAAUACGUAGGGAGCAAGCGUUAUCCGGAUUUACUGGGUGUAAAGUGCGCGUAGACGGCGGUGCAAGCCAGAUGUGAAAGCCCGGGGCUCAACCCCGGGACUGCAUUUGGAACUGGGCUGCUAGAGUGUCGGAGAGGCAGGCGGAAUUCCUAGUGUAGCGGUGAAAUGCGUAGAUAUUAGGAGGAACACCAGUGGCGAAGGCGGCCUGCUGGACGAUGACUGACGUUGAGGCUCGAAAGCGUGGGGAGCAAACAGGAUUAGAUACCCGGGUAGUC
rnacentral:rRNA from 1 species